rnacentral:rRNA from 1 species
AUUGAACGCUGGCGGCAGGCCUAACACAUGCAAGUCGAGCGGAACGGCGGACGGACGGGUAAUGCCUAGGAAUCUGCCUGGUAGUGGGGGAGAACGACCGGAAACGGGCGCUAAUACCGCAUACUAUCAGAUGAGCCUAGGGCGGAUUAGCUAGUUGGUGGGGUAAAGGCCUACCCAGGCGACGAUCCGUAACUGGUCUGAGAGGAUGAUCAGUCACACUGGAAUUGAGACACGGUCCAGACUCCUACGGGAGGCAGCAGUGGGGAAUAUUGGACAAUGGGCGAAAGCCUGAUCCAGCCAUGCCGCGUGUGUGAAGAAGGUCUUCGGAUUGUAAAGCACUUUAAGUUGGAAGGCGUUACCAACAGAAUAAGCACCGGCUAACUUCGUGCCAGCAGCCGCGGUAAUUC